CCUACGGGUCAAAGGAGCAAUUCGCUCAAGGAGGGGGUCGCGGCCGAUUAGUUAGUUGGCGGGGUAAUGGCCCACCAAGACUGUGAUCGGUAUCCGGCCUGAGAGGGCGCACGGACACACUGGAACUGAAACACGGUCCAGACUCCUACGGGAGGCAGCAGUGGGGAAUUUUGCGCAAUGGGGGAAACCCUGACGCAGCAACGCCGCGUGGAGGAUGAAGUACUUCGGUACGUAAACUCCUUUCGAUCGGGACGAUUAUGACGGUACCGGAAGAAGAAGUCCCGGCUAACUUCGUGCCAGCAGCCGCGGUAAUACGAGGGGGGCGAGCGUUGUUCGGAAUUAUUGGGCGUAAAGGGUGCGUAGGCGGUUUGGUAAGUCUUGUGUGAAAUCUAUGGGCUCAACUCAUAGACUGCACGAGAAACUGCCGGGCUUGAGUGUGGGAGAGGUGAGUGGAAUUCCUGGUGUAGCGGUGAAAUGCGUAGAUAUCAGGAGGAACACCUGUGGCGAAAGCGGCUCACUGGACCACAACUGACGCUGAUGCACGAAAGCUAGGGGAGCAAACAGGAUUAGAUACCCUGGUAGUCCUAGCCCUAAACGAUGACUGCUUGGUGUGACGGGUACCCAAUCCCGCCGUGCCGUAGCUAACGCGUUAAGCAGUCCGCCUGGGGAGUACGGUCGCAAGGCUG
rnacentral:rRNA from 1 species